rnacentral:rRNA from 1 species
CCCUUAGAUGUCCUGGGCCGCACGCGCGCUACACUGAGUGUCUGAGAUACGAGUCUGCCUGGUCCGGCAAGGUCUAGGUAAUCGCUAAAAGACACAUCAUGCUUGGGAUAGAUUAUUGCAAAUAUUAAUCUUGAACGAGGAAUUCCUAGUUAGCGCAAGUCAACAGCUUGCGUUGAUUACGUCCCUGCCCUUUGUACACACCGCCCGUCGCUACUACUGAUUGGAUGUUUAAGCGAGGUUCUCGAACUGCUAGCGACUUAGCUUCGGUGAGGUCGCAGUGUGGGAAGUGAACCUAGCUUUGGUGUCUAGAGGAAGUAAAAGUCGUAACA